GCCACUUUUUUGUGUGAAUACCUUUUUAUAAAAGCAUACGUUUUCCUUGAAAUUUGCCAAAAGUCCUGCAAGCCACUGAACGAUUCCAACGUCGUCGCCGAAGUCUAAUGGAACCGGAGAAAAGAAUUUCAUGUGGUACAGCACCAACUCUUGGAAUUUUUCGAUAGCAAUUCAUUUCGAAUGAGGAAGUGUUCCUGAAAGUCUAGAGUCAUUAUCGCAAAAAACAUCUAGUUGUUUUCUUCGAGCAAGUAUACCCAUCUGUUUGCUACAGAAGCCACCUGGCGGAAGAGAGAUGCAGAGGUGCAUGGAAGAUGAGUGAUUUGCACUGAAGUAAAACUAAAAGACGUGUUUGGCGGACUGGCAGUGAAAGCGCGUCUAACAAUAAGAUUUGUAAAAACACAAAGAGAUGUAUGACCGUAAUAACGUAAUGCCAUUUAGCAGACACUUUUCCUGGUAUCGGCAGCUUCUGACUGAACUGUUUCUACGUGACAGAUGUUGACAUUUAUUUCUUUUCUCAUUUAUUUUCAUUUUGUCUUCGCUUUUCUUGGAUAUAAGCGUGGGAUAAAUUGUGGAACGUAGGGAUCAAUUAGGCCUCCGGUGAAUUCCGUCACCGUACAUUGGCAGGAGGAUUCUUCAUAAUGGUGAUGAUUUAGUUUGUAGCAUUCUUGUGACAUUUUGAAAAUCGAUAUUUCAAAGCGUAACGUUACGCUAUCUAACGCUUUGCCUUAGACGCAGUAUCGAACCUCUGGGUGUGAGAAGCAACUUUUCUGAAACAAGAACCUUGAAUUCAAGUGUAGGAAAUGCAGAGUCGAAACACUGGUUUGCUGCCAAAUAUAAGUGCACAGAUGAAUGAAUCUCAGUCGUCAUCUUGCCUCU